GUUGAGGUUUUUCAAUGGCUCGUCCCGUCAAAUGGUCACGCGAUCUGCACUCCAUUCGCAAGCUAGCUUGAGGUGCUAGCACCGCAAGGCAUAGGGGUUCAAGUCCCCUCCUCCGCACCA
rnacentral:tRNA from 1 species